CACGUACUUCCUCCGUUCGGAAUUAUUUAUCGUGAAAAUGGAUGUAUCUAGAUGUAUUUUAGUUCUAGAUACAUCCAUUUUCGAGACAAGUAAUUCCGAAUGGAGGGAGUAGGUC
rfam:Triticum aestivum genome assembly, contig: Triticum_aestivum_CS42_TGACv1_scaffold_222493_3B